UACGAAGGGGGCUAGCGUUGUUCGGAAUUACUGGGCGUAAAGCGAACGUAGGCGGUGUUCCAUGUCAGAGGUGAAAGCCUGGGGCUCAACUCCAGAACUGCCUUUGAUACUGAGGAUCUUGAGUUCGGGAGAGGUGAGUGGAACUGCGAGUGGUAGAGGUGAAAUUCGUAGAUAUUCGCAAGAACACCAGUGGCGAAGGCGGCUCACUGGCCCGAUACGUGACGCUGAGGCACGAAAGCGUGGGGAGCAACAGGGAUUAAGAAACCCCGGUGAGCCCAGACCGAACUACUCGAGUA
rnacentral:rRNA from 1 species